AAGUUGUAACAAGGUUUCCGUAGGUGAACCUGCGGAAGGAUCAUUAACACGUAUCCAAACGUUAAAACCCCCAAGGAUAGCGCUUCUACGAUUCCUGUAGAGCGUACACUCGGGCAGGAGCUUUGCCAAAGGGUCCCCAUGCCCCCUAAUAACCCCACAGUUUAAUGUGAAGCUGAAUGUAAUACAUUGGGUAAAAAGACCGAACAACUGUUAACAAUGGAUAUCUUGGUUCUC
rnacentral:misc_RNA from 1 species